rnacentral:rRNA from 1 species
UUUGACCUCAAAUCAGGUAGGACUACCCGCUGAACUUAAGCAUAUCAAUAAGCGGAGGAAAAGAAACUAACAAGGAUUCCCCUAGUAACUGCGAGUGAAGCGGGAAAAGCUCAAAUUUGAAAUCUGGCAGUCUAUUUUUUCUUCUUUGGCUGUCCGAAUUGUAAUCUAGAGAAGUGCUUACCUGCACUGGACCAUGUAUAAGUCUCCUGGAAUGGAGCGUCGCAGAGGGUGAGAAUCCCGUCUUUGACAUGGACUGCCGGUGUGUUGUGGUGUGCUCUCAAAGAGUCGAGUUGUUUGGGAAUGCAGCUCUAAAUGGGUGGUAAACUCCAUCUAAAGCUAAAUAUUGGCGAGAGACCGAUAGCGAACAAGUACCGUGAGGGAAAGAUGAAAAGGACUUUGGAAAGAGAGUUAAACAGUAUGUGAAAUUGUUGAAAGGGAAACGCUUGAAGUCAGUUGUGUCGGCCAGGGAUCAACCUAGCUGUUUUUUGCUGGGUGAAUUUCCUAGUCUGACAGGCCAACAUCAGUCUUGACUGCUGGAAAAGAGCAGGGGGAAUGUGGCACCUUUGGGUGUGUUAUAGCCUUUUGUCAUAUGUGGCAGUUGGGACUGAGGGAUGCAGCGUGCCGCGAGGCUGGGUUUCGACCACGUUCACGCUUAGGAUGUUGGCUUUUAAUGGCUUCAAUCGACCCGUCUUGAAACACGGACCAAGGAGUCUAACAUGCCUGCGAGUGUUUGGGUGGAAAACCCUUGCGCGCAAUGAAAGUGAAAGUUGAGAUCCCUGUCAUGGGGAGCAUCGACGCCCGGACUUGAGCUUUUAGCGACGGAUCCGCGGUAGAGCAUGCAUGUUGGGACCCGAAAGAUGGUGAACUAUGCCUGAAUAGGGCAAAGCCAGAGGAAACUCUGGUGGAGGCUCGUAGCGAUUCUGACGUGCAAAUCGA